rnacentral:rRNA from 1 species
UAAUACGUAGGGUGCUAGCGUUGUUCGGAAUCAUUGGGCGUAAAGCGCGUGUAGGUGGUUAACUAAGUCGGGUGUGAAAUCCCUAGGCUCAACCAAGGAAGUGCAUUCGAAACUAGUUAACUAGAAGAUGGUAGAGGAAGGUGGAAUUCCAGGUGUAGAGGUGAAAUUCGUAGAUAUCUGGAGGAAUACCGGUGGCGAAGGCGGCCUUCUGGACCAUCCUUGACACUAAGACGCGAAAGCGUGGGUAGCAAACAGGAUUAGAUACCCUGGUAGUCCACGCCGUAAACGAUGGGUACUAGGUGUUGCGGGAAUUGACCCCUGCAGUGCCGACGCUAACGCAUUAAGUACCCCGCCUGGGAAGUACGGCCGCAAGGUUA